rnacentral:lncRNA from 1 species
CCCGUCAUCUGUCAUAUAUAAGAUUUAUUCGACUUGAGUUCUUAUGUAAAAACUAUGAAAAUAUUUUUCUAUCAUUCACUCUGUCCUAGUCAAGAUCUUCUAAACUCGAUCUCAUAAGUCACAUAAGACUUCUUUUUAUCUAUCAAGAUCGAUAGAUUCCAUCUAGGUGCACACCCUACUUCUACAACAAAACUAUUGUAGCCAAUCUGCACCGUAAAGACUCAAAGACUAGGGAUCAAGUGUAUAUACAGUCAAACUACAGUAACUCCAUUGUGAGUAGCCAAGGCACCACAAGUCAAAAAAUCAUUCACACCACUAUAGCAUCAAAAAAAUCACUGACGAGUGAGUAAAUAUCCAUAUGACUUUUCAUGUCGGUCACACUCGAUACCUUUGUUCUCUAACAAAAAUCUUUACUCGUCCCUAUACCGUAGAUUCGAAACUCAUCUAUCUCAAGGAAGGC